rnacentral:lncRNA from 1 species
CUCUUAUUCUCUUCAUAAAGAAAUACCAAGUUUGCUUACAAACUAGUGGCAGUGCAAGUGAGAGAACACAAAUCAUUAGCCACAUUAGAUUAAAGAUGUUAAUAAUAUUCAGUAAUAUUUGGAGGAUGAUUCUCAACGACUGCCUCUUACUACUGUAUAUAAUAUUUGACUAAUAUGCCAACUGUAAAAUAUCAAUCUUGUCAAAAAAUACAAAUGAAAUAACUUACAGACUACAGGGAAUUGUCAUGACAGUAAAAUGCUGUUUCUGCUACAACCAUGGGUGGACCGAUGUCACGCCAUCUUCUUCUUUUCUCCUCUUGAUAGUGGGCCCUGCCUUCUCUAUAGCAUUCUCCAAUGCAUAAUGGUGCCACACUGUUUCAGAUCCAGCCCUUUAGAUGGGAAACCAUGUCAAGCCCAGGAGGUACGCAAGGAUGAUUGCAGAGAAGUAAACGCUGGAGACAGGGCUGAGCAUCAGAGCACCAUCAGCUUCGACACUGGCAUGCUGUUGAGGAAGCCAGCAUUGGCGAGAGGAAGGAAAAAGAAAGCUGAGAGAAUGAAAUGGGCACAUGUCAGCCCAAAGACAGAAAGCAGAGAAGAAGUCACUGCAUGUGCAGAAGCAUGUCUAGAAGACAGCUGCUACAGAAAAGAGGGCAUUACAAAAAAGCAGGAAAAAACCCUUCAAAGUAAAUGAAAAGAAACAGACAGUUCUUCAAAACAAGAGAGGGAAUUAGAAAAAGAACAUUUGGAGAGGAAAAAGCAUUUGGAAUUUUUCUAAGAAGAAGGUACAAACUCAACUCUCAGAAGUAAGAAUCAGAUGAGGGAAGGUGAAGAUUAUUACAGGCACAAAGAACAGAAGUGCAAAGAGUUGGAGAAAGAUCAUUAAUCGUUCUGGGAAUCAGAAGCGUCCUGUGAUACGCAAAAUGAGGAGGUAAGUGGCCCAAAAGGGAUGGAGAGGAGGUUGGUGCCAAAGCAUACACAGCAGAGUUUCUCAAACUAUUUGUGGUGAGGGACUAUUCAUCUUUAAAAAAUAUUUCUAAUUCAUAGCAGACUCUACUAUAGCAUAGCAGGUCCUACUGAAAACUCAUACGCACAUUGAGCCACAUAUAUCUCACCGUGUGAUUUCUGGCAACACAAACUGGUCUAUACCUUUGCAACAAAACAAGUUCCCUGAUCACAUAUAUAGAUGUCACAGCAUUGUCAAAUGAGUAUAAACAUUCUAAAUACUUACUCUCAAAUUUUGCACUUAUGUCACAAACUGGCAUCGCAUUUUAUGUUGCACUGAUGUAAGGUGUUUUGAUUUUAUUCUAGGUCCAAUGGGAAGAUAUAGAAGAGUUUUCAAAAGCUGAGUAAGAUUAGAGGAUUUGCAUUUUGAAUUACAAACAACAGCCUGUAAAGCACUUAUUGGAGACAGGGCAGGGGUAGAAACAGGGAGCGUAGGAGACUGUUGUAAUAAUGAGGUAUAGAGGAUAGGUAGCGACCACGAAGAGGAACAGAUGAUCUGAGAUACACUUUGGUGGUAGUACCAACAGUGUUAAUAGAUUGAAUGUGAAAAUUGAGGGUGAAGGGAGAACCAAGAAUGAUUCAAGGAUUUUAUCUGGAGUAACUGGGUGAGUAUCAUAUAAAAGGGGAAGACAGGCGGAAUGAUUUAGGAUGGACACGGAGAUGGUGGAAUCGAGAGUUCUGCUUUUGCU